rnacentral:rRNA from 1 species
AUUGAACGCUGGCGGCAGGCCUAACACAUGCAAGUCGAGCGGAUGAAGGGAGCUUGCUCCUGGAUUCAGCGGCGGAAGGGUGAGUAAUGCCUAGGAAUCUGCCUGGUAGUGGGGGAUAACGUCCGGAAACGGGCGCUAAUACCGCAUACGACCUGAGGGUGCAAGUGGGGGAUCUUCGGACCUCACGCUAUCAGAUGAGCCUAGGUCGGAUUAGCUAGUUGGUGGGGUAAAGGCCUACCAAGGCGACGAUCCGUAACUGGUCUGAGAGGAUGAUCAGUCACACGGGAGCUGGGACACGGUCCAGGCUCCUACGAGAGGCAGCAGUGGGGAAUAUUGGACAGUGGGCGAAAGCCUGGUCCAGCCAUGCCGCGUGUGUUAAGAAGGUCUUCGGAUUGUAAAGCACGUUAAGUUGGGGGGAAGGGCAGUAAGUUAAGACCUUGCUGUUUUGACGUUACCGGCAGAAGAAGCACCGGCUAACUUCGUG